rnacentral:misc_RNA from 1 species
AUAUAUAUCAACCCUCUUUGCUGAGUGGCUUGGAUGUGGGGGUUUGCUGGCUUGAGGCCAGCUCUCCUGAAAUGCAUUAGCAGAACAACCUGUUCAUUCAUUGGUGUGAUAGAUAUCUACGCUAUUGAAUGCAAGGUGGAUCAGCUUCUUAACGGUCUCCUUGGGACAGUUUAUCAUCUU